GGUAAUCGACAUCCAAAUCAGCAUCUGCAUGCUUUGUUGUUUUUAUUACGUGUGCAUUUCCCCAAAAAUCGCCACGAAAUAAGAAAUAGUAAUCGAACGUACGUAACAGCGCGUUCUGUCGGGAGAUGCAGUGACUCGAACCAACAGCAACCCGACGUGAGUGAAGUGUUUGUGGCUUGGCAUUGUGUAGCUUGGCUCUGUUGUGGGGACCAGACUGCGGCAUAAAGUACGGUUUUCAAACCUAAACCACGACCAUGCGACAGAAGUAGCCCCCCUUUCAGGUACGAGCUCCUAGUUUUGUCUGGGCUGUUCGGAGUUACGUCUGUUUGUGUUGCCUUCAUGCAGUGUGAGUGUGUGUGUGUGUGUGCAGGUAUUACUCAUGUUGUGGGGACAUAAUCUGUUUACAGUCACAUUGCGGGGACUCGCCUUCCUUUUGGGGACUAAACCCACGUCCCCAUAACGUAAGUCAUUAACUUUUAGGGUGAAGACUUGGUUUAAGGGAGGGUAAGAUCAGGACGUGGUAGGCUAGUAGUGGUUAUGGUCAGGGUCAGUCUCCAGGAGAUGAAUGUAAGUCAAUGUAAAGUCCUCUGAAGUGCUGGAAACACGACUGUGUGUGUUAAUGAAUCAAACACAGGUACAAGAAGAAUAACACAGUUUUAUUAAAAUUUAAUUUGGCUACAUUUAUUCGAGCAUGGUCAUUUCCAAGAGAAAUUAAAAAUUCAAUAAUACAUUUCAGGAAUUCCUUCACCAUCACCAUCACCAUCAUCAUCAUCAUCAGUCCUUCCUCAUCUCUUCAGUUGGAUGAAUAAAGUGGAUUUUUUUUUUAACUCUCAAAAAUACAGUGUUUUAACAAAAAUCAUCGUAUCAAAAGUUCCCCAAAUUUAGAAUUUCCAGUAGUUUCAAAGGAAAUAAAACAAAAACAAAAAAAUUGAAAUUUUCCAAAUACCAUAGACACUCUCUAUUCAUAGUUUUGCUCCAAUAGUCAAUGACAGAAUCAUUUUUACUAAAAUAUAUCUAUUUGUGAGGAACUCUAAUACUGUACACUACAGUAUGAAAUAAAUAAAAUUAGGAAAUAUAAAAUGAGUCACAUAAAUAAAAUGGUAAAUUCUCAAAUAAAACAUUUUUUUUUUUUAAAUUUGUGUUGGAAAAUUCAACAAAAACAAAAAAGUAAUACUGACAAAAAAUACUGUCAUGGAACAAAAAAAUACUGAAAAUUGCACAAACAUAUGUAAACUAACAAACUGCCGUCUAUCUAAGCUAAUACUGACGAAUCAAAAACAAGAUGAAAUAUUCAUUUUUAAUAGUGAAGCAGAGCAGAGAGGACACAGGUGAUGUACACUGUACAGGGAUGGCACUUUGCAGAAACGCACAGGUGAAAAGGUUUGCAUAUAAGGCUUUCUCUGGAGAAAAAAUUCAACACACAAAAAAAGGCUCUGUCCUUUUUUAUUUUUAUCUUUUUAAAACGGAGCCCUUUCAUAUUACGCUCCAUCCUCUCCUUUUUAAGACUCACAUCGACAUUUUAUUUUGAAAAUCACACAGGUUUAAAUGUUCCUUCACAUAAAAAAAAAAAAAAAAACAUCAGGAGGCCCAAAGUCGUGUGGUUAGUUGGCAAAAACAAUAAAACAGGAUAAAAAUAAAAAACGUCACAGUAAAAGGAGACAGAAAAUACAACAAUAACACUGACAGGAAGUGAUCGAGUGUUCGAGGCUUUUUCCCCUCUUUUUUUAAACAUUUUUUUUUAUUUUGUAGUGAUUCGGGGAGUCGAGUGCAAUUUCCUGAUGUGGGGGUUCGAACACAACGAGACACGGGAAGUUAAGAACAUUAUAGCACCACACAGCUUUUAG